GCAACUUAGAUUUAUCUUUUAUAGAGCAACCUAUCAGUAAUAAGAUCAUUUUAUAGAUUAGAAUAACAUAUCGUAACACAUAAUACUGCUUAUUGUAGUCAACUCGUAACCUAAUCACCUUGUCACACAUAUUCAACAGUCAUUGAAUCACGAACAAUCACUAAUAUAAUCAAAAUAUCUAAGUCCAGAUCAAUUUCUGAAACAUGUCGGUGUACCGACGGCUUUAUCGGG
rnacentral:lncRNA from 1 species